GCUGCUCUGACAACUGGACGCAGGUCUACCACAACCUUUUAGUAAGUGUGAAGUGUGAAGAUAUCUGUAGCAUGAGAAAACUCCCAAUGCGGUCCAGAGGGGUGAACAUAAUGCUGAAAGGGCCAGCCCACUGACUGAAGAGGAUGAAGAGGUGAUGCCGCAGGCUCUGCUGUGGAAACAGGAAGCGCCUGUGGUGCACUGGGGAGGGAGACGAGUAAGCCUGUUAUAGGUUUGCUAAUUGAGAGAAUGCAGAGUCAGCAAAAAUAUUCAGCUUCCAGAAGCAUCCGGGUUAGAUCUACAUACUCCAGGAACAGAGCGCCCAGGGCGAGGGUGUCACGUUCCAGAGCUCCAUUUGUACUGUGGGAAAGCAAAGAAAACAGAGAGUGAUUCUGUCCUGUCUUGGGCUGUAAUGUGUCAACUACUGCCACACUAACCUGUCACUGAUGACGCCUGCAUCAGCCAGCAGCUCAAAGAUCCGCAACAGCUGCAGUCUCAGCAGGUCUCGCCGC